AAAACUGACUAGGAUAGCUGGUAAAAAUUAGUGUGAGCUACUAAUUAGGCCAGUAAGUAGAAGUGAACCUUCUGCUAUAGACCAUCAAAUUGACGGGAAAGCCCUAAAGCAAAUUCAACCAAACAAAUGUGGUAACACAUUUGUGGCGCAGGUAAUGACUCGCGGUAAGGUAACAUCGAAAUUGAUAGCGAAAGUGAAUGGGUAAUCCGCAGCCAAGCACCUUAUGGGUGUGCAGUUCAUCGACUAAAUGUUGGUUGGCGCAAGCUUAAGAUAUAGUCAAGCCUCAUCCAAAAGGAUGCA
rnacentral:ncRNA from 1 species